rnacentral:rRNA from 1 species
AUUGAACGCUGGCGGCAUGCCUUACACAUGCAAGUCGAACGGCAGCACGGGAGCUUGCUCCUGGUGGCGAGUGGCGAACGGGUGAGUAAUAUAUCGGAACGUACCCAGUAGUGGGGGAUAGCCCGGCGAAAGCCGGAUUAAUACCGCAUACGAUCUACGGAUGAAAGCGGGGGAUCGCAAGACCUCGCGCUAUUGGAGCGGCCGAUAUCUGAUUAGCUAGUUGGUGAGGUAAAGGCUCACCAAGGCUACGAUCAGUAGCUGGUCUGAGAGGACGAACAGCCACACUGGAACUGAGACACGGUCCAGACUCCUACGGGAGGCAGCAGUGGGGAAUUUUGGACAAUGGGCGAAAGCCUGAUCCAGCAAUGCCGCGUGUGUGAAGAAGGCCUUCGGGUUGUAAAGCACUUUUGUCCGGAAAGAAAUGGCUCUGGUUAAUACCUGGGGUCGAUGACGGUACCGGAAGAAUAAGGACCGGCUAACUACGUGCCAGCAGCCGCCGCAGUAA